rnacentral:lncRNA from 1 species
CGCUCUGCAAUUUUAUUUUCUUUCCUCAAGCGCUUCUGCAACUCAUUACCGCUCCUUCAACCCGGUGCGAAGAAGAGAAGCCAAAACUCCGAGCGCGAAGCGACCUCACGGCCGCCCUCGGGGCGCGCGGGCACCGCGCCACGGCUCCCCUCAGCCCGCGGCGCCGCCCCUCCCGCGGCACGGCCACGGCGCCGCCUGCUGCUCCCCCUAGCGGCCGUGCCCCGCCCCGCCCCUCCCGCCGAGCCCCCGCCCCCCGCUGACGUGCGGCCCCGCCCCCGCGGCUGCCCGCUGCCGCCGCGACUUGAGGGCGAGCUCGGCGGCCGCCCCGCGCUUCUGUGCGCUCCGCUCUUCGUCGCUCCGCACCUGGCCGCGCGGCUCCCGGCCCGCCGGCGGGAUUUACGGCGGCCGCCUCGCCGCAGCCGACGUCCAACCCGCGCACCGCAGGAAAUUAAGAGUUCACGGAAAGCUUUAAAGGAGUUUUCUGGAAAGGAAAUAACACUUUGGUGUCUUUUUAUGAAGACGACCACCUGAAUUGUGUAACAUUCCUACAGCUGGGGGACCUGCCUUCAGCGUGCAGCGCAGGAGGAAUUCUUUCCUGCAUUACAAAUUGGGAAGAAGUGUUAAGAGUGAGCGCUGGGAAAUGGUCCUCUCUGAGAGGUGUGGAUGUAUCAGGAUGUAGCUGCUGUACAAAGUUUAUCCUUGGAUAACUCUGGACAGAGAUAAACCUCCAUUGCUGACCUCCUGAAGAGGCGAUCCUUGUUCAGGCCCCAGCAUAAUGAAUAGUUUCCAUCACGCUGCGCUGAAGCUCCAGCCUCCCAACUACUGCAUCCCACAAAAGAGCUUGUACAAGCUACAAAGAAAGUAAUUCUUGUUAAAGGCAUUAAACCAAACAAAAGAGGCUCUCCAUUCACAGACUUUACAUGAGAACAGAAAUAGAAGGAAGCUGAAGCUUUUUUGCUCCUCUGCCGGUGUGCUGAGGUACCAUGGUAAAUCAUAGUUGGGUUGCCCCUGGAGCAUAGUGCCUGGAAGCGAGCACCACCAGGAGGGGGCGGCCGAGGGAGAAGUCGUCCAUGGAGUGAAGUAUAAGAGCAAGAGAGGAAUUGGUUUGCUGGAUAUCCUCAAGCACAAAAUUUACUCUUACCUUUAAAUACGGUAGGAUCAAUAUGAAUCUAUUUUCCUUUUCAUGCCUUGGAGAAUAAAGUUCAGUUAAUAUAUGAACCCA